rnacentral:tRNA from 1 species
GUGGUUGUAGCUCAGCAGUAGAGCGCUCACCUAGCAUGUGUGAAGUUCUGAGUUCGAUCUUCAGCACCAUA